ACCCACUCGUGCAAUCGAAGGCUGGACGCACCCCGCUGGAGUUUGCCGUGCAGCAUGGCCGUCACAAGGUGGAGUCCUGGCUGGUUAAAAAUUGCAGCGGUGUUGUGAGAAGGAAGACUCUGCGUGUGUAGCAAGUGAGGGCGUGGCGUGGCGAGCAUGAACACCACCACAACAAAGUCUUGUCCAUGCUGGUGGAGGGCAACGAGGCAGACAUGGCCAACAUCCCCGAGGUUUGUGAUGGUCACACGCUGAGCCAGGAUGGCCUGACGCCUCUCCACGCCGCGGCGCUGUGCGGGGCUCCCAGUGCUGCUGUGGAGGCUUUGCUGCGACGCGACGUGAGCCCUCAUGUGACCACCCCUGACAACAUGACCCCCGCUGACCUGGCACGGCAGCAAGGCCAAGACUCAGUGAUUAAGGGACUACAGCGCCACCACUGUGUACAGGUGUGUGUGUGUGUGUGUGUGUGUGAAUUGAAUUUAUAACUGAAUUGAAUUGAAUUUAUUGAGUAAGGUCAGACUUUCUAUAAAGUAUGGAGCACAGCUCUCCAGCAAAAGAAUACAGACACUAUAGAUUAUAUACAGAAUGUGCAUAAUAUUACAUAAGAAAAGACAAAUACAUACAAAUGAAAUACGCUGUAAGCAAUGGCAAAAAAUUAAUAUAAAAAAAUGUGUAUGCAUAUAUAAUGAUACAUACUGUCACUAAUUAAGAAAUAAAAAAAAAACUAUUGAGGUGUUUUGCACACUGUUUAUCUAAACAUGCGUAGCAUCAUCCUCAAAAACAAAGAUAAUUUCUUUAUCACAUUUGAACUUAUACUUUGCAUGAACAAAACAUAUUUGAAUUGUGUUGGCCUAUUUAUGUAAUUUGCUAUAUACAUAUUACCUAACCUAACAAUUUCCAUAUCAGUACAUUCAAAAAGAACAUGAAAUUCUUCUCCUUCUACCUCAGCAUUACACAUGUUACAUACCCUAUCUUCUCUACUGACACCUUGAUACCUACCAACAUUUACAGGAAGUCUAUUAUUACAACUUCUAAAUUUAGUCACUAAUAAUCUGUCACCCUUUAUUAACUGUUCUAAAUACUGUUCUCUGCCAAAAUCUGUCUUAAACACCCUAUAACUGCUGCUAAAUGAUUUUGUUUCUAAAUUAUGAUGCCAAGUUACAAGCCACUGAUCUUUCAAUCUCUGUUCCAUAGCUUUCUUCACCCAUCUUGAAUUAGAAACAUCUUGCAACACCACAUACCAGACAUUCCACAGUCAUUACAAAUAUUCUUUAUAUAAGUUUACCAUGGAGAAGUAUGAAGCCCUAACCUAUCCAGCUGCAAUAGACAUUGGUACAUUAAAUAACACAGUUUAGUAUUUUUACCUGAAAUUAGCCUAGACCAAUAACCUAUCAUUUUUUUUUUCUUUAUAUAAAUAUCAAGUGGAAAUACACCCGGUUCACCAUACACCAUGUCAUUACAAGUAUUCUCAUGAACACCCAAAACCUGCUUUAAAAAAUUCAUGUACAUAUACUCUUAACUCCCUAGCAAUAUGGUAACCCAAAAUUUCAGCUGCACAAGUCAAUAUAGGUAACACCAUGGUGGUAAAUAAUUUGAGUUGUAUAUCCACUGGCAAGUCAAACUUCCUACACUUACUUAUUAAUGAGUACAUUGCUCUUGUAGGUGUCUCUUUUAGCUCCAGCUCACCUUUGCAAAACCUCCCAUUAUAAUUUAAUAAUACUCCAAGAUACUUAUACUCUGUCACUACUUCAAUGUUUUCACCACCAAAUUCAAGUUCAUAGUUAAAUUUUGUCUUCCCCUGCUAAACACUACUAUUUUUGUUUUGUUACAAUUUAGCUUCAAUUUCCAUUCAUUACAAUAUAAAUUCACAGCAGCCAAUGCCUGCAUCAUUCCAUCCUCACUGUCACACAAAAUAAUUGUAUCAUCUGCAUACAUAAUAACAAAUAGUUUAAGAUACAUGUUUAAGAAAUCGUCACCAAAAUUUACAUAACUGCAAUUAUAUUCAAUUAAUUUACUUUCAAUAUCAUUCACAUAAAAAGCAAAAAGCACCGAUGAUAAAUUUUCCCCCUGUUUUACCCCUACAUUGCAAACAAAGGUGUCUGAAAUCUGGUUAAGCAUGACACAUGAUCUGAUAUUAUUGUACAUAUUUCUGAUUACAUUUAGAAUUUUCCCUUGCAUCUCUUCCUUCACAAGUUUACACCAUAAACCUUCACGCUGUACCAUAUCAAAGGCUUUCUUAUAAUCAACAAAUAAACAAAAUAGCUUUCUCUUCUUCCACUUAAAUAAAUCAAUGACACAUUUGAAGAAAAAA